rnacentral:rRNA from 1 species
CCAACAGGGAUUGCCUCAGUAACGGCGAGUGAAGCGGCAUAAGCUCAAAUUUGAAAUCUGGCUCCUUCGGAGUCCGAGUUGUAAUUUGUAGAGGAUGUUUCGGGUGCGGCGCCGGUCUAAGUCCCUUGGAACAGGGCGUCAUAGAGGGUGAGAAUCCCGUACGCGACCGGUGACCAACCCCAUGUGAAACUCCUUCGACGAGUCGAGUUGUUUGGGAAUGCAGCUCAAAAUGGGAGGUAAAUUUCUUCUAAAGCUAAAUACCGGCCAGAGACCGAUAGCGCACAAGUAGAGUGAUCGAAAGAUGAAAAGCACUUUGGAAAGAGAGUCAAACAGUACGUGAAAUUGUUGAAAGGGAAGCGCUUGCAACCAGACCUGUCCGUGGGCGAUCAACCUCUGUUUUCAGGGGUGCACUCGUCCACGAUCAGGCCAGCAUCGGUUCGGGCGGCCGGAUAAAGGCCUUGGGAAUGUAGCUCCUCUCGGGGAGUGUUAUAGCCCUCGGUGCAAUGCGGCCAGCCUGGACCGAGGACCGCGCUUCGGCUAGGAUGCUGGCGUAAUGGUUGUAAGCGACCCGUCUUGAAACACGGACCAAGGAGUCGAAUAUCUAUGCGAGUGUUUGGGUGUCAAGCCCAUACGCGUAAUGAAAGUGAACGGAGGUGAGAACCCUUAAGGGCGCAUCAUCGACCGAUCCAGAUGUCUUCGGAUGGAUUUGAGUACGAGCAUAGCUGUUCCGACCCGAAAGAUGGUGAUCUAUACUUGAAUAGGGUGAAGCCAGAGGAAACUCUGGUGGAGGCUCGCAGCGGUUCUGACGUGCAAAUCGAUCGUCAAAUUUGAGUAUAGGGGCGAAAGACUAAUCGAACCAUCUGAACCCCAUCUACUGGAUGGUUCCCUCGGGCCCUCGUUGUGGGCCCGAACCAGUCCCUCCCGAGGGGCCACACUGCCAGUCUUCGGGUACGCCUUUGGCUACCUGCAGCGGGCCCGUCCGGGCUCGUUCACUGACUAAACGGCGGUGGCCGCGCGCUCGUGGCGCGGUUGCGAGAUAGCCGAUUCCUCCCCGAGCACGGGGGGGUCUCAAGAGUAGCUGGUUCCUGCCGAAGUUUCCCUCAGGACAGCAGUAACGUUUUCAGUUUUAUGAGGUAAAGCGAAUGAUUAGAGGCCUUGGGGUUGAAACAACCUUAACCUAUUCUCAAACUUUAAAUAUGUAAGAAGUCCUUGUUACUUAGUUGAACGUGGACAUUUGAAUGCACCGUUACUAGUGGGCCAUUUUUGGUAAGCAGAACUGGCGAUGCGGGAUGAACCGAACGCGAGGUUAAGGUGCCGGAAUGUACGCUCAUCAGACACCACAAAAGGUGUUGAUUCAUCUAGACAGCCGGACGGUGGCCAUGGAAGUCGGAAUCCGCUAAGGAGUGUGCCAAUCUAUGUUACAUGCUCCUGAGAUAGUGUGGUACUAUAGUGUGAGCGAAACCGUUGGUUUCGGGCACAUCUAUCGUUCGAAAUUCGUGGAAGCGUCGUCUGACCCCCGGGGGAGGCGACGUAUCACGAGCCUAACCUGCGUCGUGUAUCUCGGCGUUAACCAGGUCUACAGACUAAACCGAACGGGACCCUUCCGAGGGUCUGCGAUAUAAUCGAGUCCAUCUCCGUUCGGAGGUGGCGCGAGGAAGGGGGGUCUCCCUGUGUGGCCCGGGCGUGGCCCUCACUCGCUCUCACGGUGUAACAACUCACCGGCCGAAUGAAUCAGCCCUGAAAAUGGAUGGCGCUCAAGCGUGCUACCCAUACCUCGCCGCCAGGGUAGAAACGAUGCCCUGGCGAGUAGGCAGGCGUGGGGGUCAGUGACGAAGC